rnacentral:ncRNA from 4 species
GAUAAGCGGGUAAACAAGUUUCCCUGGUGUUGGCGCAGUAUUCGCGCACCCCAACUUCGGU